AGCGAUUGAGUCAAUUGAUUCGAUUGUAUUAUAGCUCCCAGAACUGAACAGACUGUGUUGUUGUGCAGUAGCGAUGCAAGCCUUAAGGCGCACAAAUUUUGCUGCGGUUGGUGGAUGCUUGGCUCACUUGUUUUAGAGUUUGUCGAGUAUUUCGCUGACUGAUGGUGGAGUCAAUUGUGUAUUGCAUCCAUAAUCUAUGGUUCAAUGUAGGCCAUUUACCUGUCCCGUCUUGAAACACGGACCAAGGAGUCUAUCAUGUUUGCGAGUCAUUGGGCGUUACGAAACCCAAAGGCGAAGUGAAAGUAAAGACCUACGUUGGUAGGUUUAGGCAGGAUCGUUGUACCCUCGGGUGUGAUGCGCACUGCCGACUCAUUAGAUAUUUCUAGUGAAGUCAGAGCAAACAUGAUGUAACCCGAAAGAUGGUGAACUAUGCUUGUGCAGGCUGAAGCC
rnacentral:rRNA from 1 species